UGGUUCUGGCAUCGAUGAAGAACGCAGCGAAAUGCGAUAAGUAAUGUGAAUUGCAGAAUUCAGUGAAUCAUCGAAUCUUUGAACGCACAUUGCGCCCUCUGGUAUUCCGGGGGGCAUGCCUGUUCGAGCGUCAUUACAACCCUCAAGCUCAGCUUGGUAUUAGGCUUCACCUGCUAUAGGCGGGCCUUAAAAUCAGUGGCGGUGCCAUUUGGCUUCAAGCGUAGUAAUUUUUCUCGCUCAGGAGUACCGAUUGUGUGCCUGCUAAAAAUCCAAAUUUUAUCAAAGGUUGACCUCGGAUCAGGUAGGGAUACCCGCUGA
rnacentral:misc_RNA from 1 species